AGCAUACAUGUCUGUGCCGUCUUUUGACGAUGGCAGGAUAAUUAUUGACCUGAGGAAUAAUAUGGAUUUAUGUGGUUGUGAAAAUAGACUUUGUGUUUGUGAGUGUGAAAAUGUUAGUGUGUGUGUGUGUGUGCCUGUGUGUGUGCGCGCGCGCACGCGCUGGGACCCCACUUGACAAGUUGACCUUGUCUAGAGGAGCAUUAGUGGAAAAAGACUGUGUAGCCCUGAGACAAUAGGAUGAUGUCUGGACCAAUGAGACUGGCCUGCAGGGGACGCAAGGAUUCACUUCUCUCUUGGACGCUGGCGGAUGUAGACACGGUAAUUAUGAUCCUGGCAAUUGCGUUGAUCGUCAGUAGAAGAGCGUAGCUUAGGUGGGGUUCUGUCUGCCUCUGAUGGGGUGCGGAUGUGUGGUUCGUCACUGGUGAAUGGUGUUCGACGAUGCAGGUGGAUUUUGUGACGAGCGGAUUUACAAUGAGGGAAUGUAGUGUACGUGUCCGAUGAUAGUGAGCGUCUUUUCACUCUGUUCAAGUGUUCGUUUUCCUCUGUUGCCCAACAGUCGUGCGAAUUUGUCCUGACGUGUCCUGACAUGCCCCGAUAUGCAUGGUUUCCUUUGUUAACGCUUUGUAUUUUGUCUUUUUUGACAAGGAACAUUGUCGUCUUGACGAUAGUGCUGCCCUGAGUUCUGCGCGCGUUGAUUUGUUGAGUGCCUAGUCCUCUUAUUAGCCGUUGAUGGGGUUACAUGUUGGGAUAUUUUGUUCUUUUGCAAGUCUCAUUUAGUAAGACUUUGGAAUUCCUACGAUCAGCUUUCAUGCAUGGUGCUCUUCUGCAAUAGUUUCCUAUGCAAUCGUUAUAGAAGAAUAAAGGAAAUAACCUUGGGAUAGUGAUUCAAUAAAUAAUAGGUCCCCUGUCUAGAGCGCACGCGUCCUUGAGCCACGCAGGUGCAUGAGGACGUCAUACCGUGGCUUCACUGCAGAUUGACCUUGUCUAGAGGAGCAUUAGUGGAAAAAAACAGUGUAGCCCUGAGACAAUAGGAUGAUGUCUGGACCAAUGAGAACGGCCAGCAGGGGACGCAGGAAUGCUCUUCUCUCUUAGCCUCUCGCAGGUGGCGGUAGGAGCGCGCAGAGGGCGCUACGAGCGCGCGCAUGCGUAGCACUGCGUAGCGCUGCGUCGUCACUUGAUCCCUGGCUGUCGACGAGAGCGGACGCUCCGUCGCAGCGGGGAAAAAGGUGAGUGAUUUACCGAUGUUUGCGCGUUGUUUUACCGUGCUCGUGUUAAGCCUUUUCUCGCAUGUUUAGACUUGUUUAGCGGUGUCCAAGCCUGUUGACGCACGUUUACCAUCGUGUGGUUCCCGCCUUGUGUUAGCCGCGAAGUGUUGUGACGCUGUGGUUAGGCCUUGUCGAUUGCCUUAAGCCUUUCCCCCCGAUGUGUAGUGUUUUCUCCGUGCUGUUUAGCAGUAGCGGUUAGGCCUUUUCCCCGCGCUCUGGCAUGGUUAGACUUGUCGAGCAGUGUUGCCAUUUUUACGUGUCGCUAGUACUUUCUUGUUCUCUGUGUUUCUCGUAUAGAGCUACGAUGCUGGCGCCAUCUGGUGUGAUGCCUUGGAACUAGCGUGCCACCUGCCUCUGCAACCGUCGUGCUCCAGUCGCCCGCACCGGCGUGAUUUCUUCAAGAUGGCGUCGUUGAUUUUCAAAUAAAUCAUUUCCCACUGUCU